GGCUGGUGUUGGGAGGCCGCGUCCCACCGAAGCCUGGCCGCGGGGCCGAAGCCGGACGGAGCCAGCGCGCUUCUUAAGCACCGGCCGUGUGCCGGAGGAGAAGCGGCGCGGAGGACUCUGGGAGGGGGGAAGGCCCGGAUGCGGGGCCGGGGUCUCUAACCCUCGGCGGCCCCGGCAGUCACUGAAACCCAGGGACGGAACACGGAGACCUCCAGGCUCCCCCCCAACCUGCCAGUCCGGCGCUCAGUGAGGGCCGCAGAGGCCAAGCUUAAGAAAGGAAGAGAAGAAAGGGCGUCUCAGCCAGCCUGACCACCAGGGCUGACGUUUCUGUGAUAUUCUCUACCUGCGGGUCUUCAGGGGAGGGAAGCCCCUUCUCAGCCCCUCCCCGGAGCACCGUAUUUUCACACUAUUCAGUCAUUUAAUGAUUGUUUCCAUCGCUGCAGCGACAGCACUUAUCGUUUUCUGGAUGCGCUUCCUUCACCCUCUCUCCCUCCGUGGGAGUCUUUUCAAGCUUCUCUGAAUCCUUCGGAGUGACCGUUUCUCACCGUCCAGUGUGACUCGUAUUCCUCCAGAGAGCUGAGACUUGCCGAGCUCUUUUCUUAGAACAAUCCCGGGGGAGCAAGAAAGAGCGUCCCUGCCUUACGAGUGUGCACAAUCAGCAGGAUGAGGGGCUGGGGGCUGGGCCGGAGGGUCCUGAGUCGGGAGGUUUGGGGUGAAUCCCAUCUGUGACACCCAGUUCCCAGCCAAGUCUGAGGCUCCUCAUCUGGGGGGGGCGGGAGGGGGGGCAGCCUUAAAGACCUGUCAGUGCCCCCCGCCCCAUCAUCAGACCCUCAGCACCAAGAGCUCCACUACCCGACGAUGACAUCAGGGCUGUGAAACCUUAGGGAGUCAUCUGAUUCCUCCUAAAUCACAUGGGAAAGGGCCCAGAUUGAGCCAGAGGACAUGGAUGGAUCCAAAACUUGGUUCUGUCAGCUUGCUGUUCACCUGGGAUAAGGCAGUCCCUGUCUGAGAGCAUGUGUUCUCUGUAAAAUGGAGGGGAAGGGAUGGAUCUGGGGGAUAGAGGAAGCUGCUUCUGUCCUCCUUGUCUCUGAGUCUCUGUCUGUCUGCUUAUCUCAGUCUCUGCAUUUUUCUCUGUCUCUGUGUCUCAGUGCUUCCUCCUUGUCUCUGAGUCUCUGUCUGUUUAUCUCAGUCUCUGUUUUUCUGUCUCUUGUCUCUGUUUCUGUCCUCCCCUUCCCCGUUAUCCCCGUGUCUUUAUCUCUGUUUCUCCCGUUGUCUUUGUCUCUGUCUCAGUGCUUCUGUCUUUGUCUCUCUGUCUCCCUGUUUCUGUCUGUGUGUCCGUGUCUGUCUGUCUGUCUCUGUCUUGGUCCCCCUUUAUCUCUGUUUCUCCUCUCCUGACGUCCAUCCAGCCUUUGAGAUAACUAAGGGCAGUCACGGUAGGAGAGUGUUGUUGGUGUGGGGAACUUGCAGGUGGGAAAGGUUUUCUCCCCAGCCUGGUGGGUGCCUUCUCUGCGGUUUCUUGCCUGAAAGUGGUGGGACGGUAGGGAACCCAAGCAGAUUCACCCAGCCAACGGGCCCCAAAAAUGGAGACCUGGGCCUUGGUCUCCCUGGUUCGAAGGCCCGCCUUCUAUCCGUCGUUCCAUGCUGUCUCAUAAUAAUAAUAAAAAUAUAUUAAAGGUUUA